AGAGUUUGAUCCUGGCUCAGGAUGAACGCUGGCGGCGUGCUUAACACAUGCAAGUCGAGCGAAGCAAUUUAAGUGAAGUUUUCGGAUGGAUCUUAGAUUGACUGAGCGGCGGACGGGUGAGUAACGCGUGGAUAACCUGCCUCACACAGGGGGAUAACAGUUAGAAAUGACUGCUAAUACCGCAUAAGCGCACGGUACCGCAUGGUACAGUGUGAAAAACUCCGGUGGUGUGAGAUGGAUCCGCGUCUGAUUAGGUAGUUGGUGAGGUAACGGCCCACCAAGCCGACGAUCAGUAGCCGACCUGAGAGGGUGACCGGCCACAUUGGGACUGAGACACGGCCCAAACUCCUACGGGAGGCAGCAGUGGGGAAUAUUGCACAAUGGGCGAAAGCCUGAUGCAGCAACGCCGCGUGAGUGAAGAAGUAUCUCGGUAUGUAAAGCUCUAUCAGCAGGGAAGAAGAAAGACGGUACUUGACUAAGAAGCCCCGGCUAACUACGUGCCAGCAGCCGCGGUAAUACGUAGGGGGCAAGCGUUAUCCGGAUUUACUGGGUGUAAAGGGAGCGCAGGUGGUAUGGCAAGUCAGAAGUGAAAACCCGAGGCUCAACCACGGGAUUGCUUUCGAAACUGUUAAACUAGAGUGCAGGAGGGGCAGGCGGAAUUCCUGGUGUAGCGGUGAAAUGCGUAGAUAUCAGGAGGAACACCGGUGGCGAAGGCGGCCUGCUGGACUGUAACUGACACUGAGGCUCGAAAGCGUGGGGAGCAAACAGGAUUAGAUACCCUGGUAGUCCACGCCGUAAACGAUGAAAUACUAGGGGGUCGGGUAGCAAAGCUACUCGGUGCCGUCGCAAACGCAGUAAGUAUUCCACCUGGGGAGUACGUUCGCAAGAAUGAAACUCAAAGGAAUUGACGGGGACCCGCACAAGCGGUGGAGCAUGUGGUUUAAUUCGAAGCAACGCGAAGAACCUUACCAAGGCUUGACAUCCCGAUGACCGCUCUAGAGAUAGAGCUUCUCUUCGGAGCAUCGGUGACAGGUGGUGCAUGGUUGUCGUCAGCUCGUGUCGUGAGAUGUUGGGUUAAGUCCCGCAACGAGCGCAACCCUUAUCUUCAGUAGCCAUCAUUCAGUUGGGCACUCUGGAGAGACUGCCGUGGAUAACACGGAGGAAGGUGGGGAUGACGUCAAAUCAUCAUGCCCCUUAUGUCUUGGGCUACACACGUGCUACAAUGGCUGGUAACAAAGUGACGCAAGACGGCGACGUUAAGCAAAUCACAAAAACCCAGUCCCAGUUCGGAUAGUAGUCUGCAACUCGACUACAUGAAGCUGGAAUCGCUAGUAAUCGCGAAUCAGAAUGUCGCGGU
rnacentral:rRNA from 1 species